AUGGACAACAUUCCACACUCCCCAGCGAUCCAUCGCCGGUGUAGCCAGCCAGCGAGCGAUCAAGCUUCGCGUGAACCCACCAUGCCGAUGAUCUCCGUGGCGCCGCCGCCGGCCCUGCACUUCCCGAGGCUGACGCUCACGAUGCCGCCGCCCAUGAUCACGCUCCCGGACCGCGCCCACGCCGACGCGCCGCGCCCGCCCCCGCCGCUCUUGCUCCGCCACGCCGCCGCCAAGAACAAGGCCGUCGUUGCCAUGGGCGCCACGGCCACCGGCAAGUCCCGCCUCGCCAUCGGCCUCGCGCUCCGCUUCGGCGGCGAGGUGAUCAACUCCGACAAGAUACAGGCCCACGCAGGCCUCGACGUGGCCACCAACAAGGUGUCCCCCUCCGAGCGCGCCGGCGUUCCGCACCACCUGCUCGGCCUCGACGAGGACUUCUGCCGCAAGGCCGCGAGCGCCGUGCGCACCGCCUUGGCGCGGGGUUAUGUCCCCGUCGUCGCCGGCGGCUCCAGCUCGUACGUGGAGGAGCUCGUGGAGGGCGAGCGCCGCGCCUUCCGGGAGCGCUACGACUUCGUGGCGCGCCCCGUCGACGACAUGUGCCGCCUCAGCCUCGUCGACGAGGUGGCCGCUGCCUUCGACGCGCGCCGCACCGACUACUCCCGCGGCGUCUGGCGCGCCAUCGGCAUCCCCGAGCUCGACGCCUGCCUCCGCUCCACCGGCGCCGGCCGGCGAGGACGAGCGCGCGAGCAUGCUCACCACCGCCGUCGACGAGAUCAAGGCCAGCACGUCGCGCCUCGUGUGCCGCCAGCGCGGCGAGAUCCAGGAAAAUACUAUCAGAGAAAGUGA
rnacentral:rRNA from 1 species